CGGACGGGUGAGUAACGCGUGGAAAACCUGCCGUAUACUGGGGGAUAACACUUAGAAAUAGGUGCUAAUACCGCAUAAGCGCACAGCUUCGCAUGAAGCAGUGUGAAAAACUCCGGUGGUAUACGAUGGUUCCGCGUCUGAUUAGCUAGUUGGUGAGGUAAAAGCCCACCAAGGCAACGAUCAGUAGCCGGCCUGAGAGGGUGAACGGCCACAUUGGGACUGAGACACGGCCCAGACUCCUACGGGAGGCAGCAG
rnacentral:rRNA from 1 species